rnacentral:rRNA from 1 species
AACCGUUCGGGGGUAAACGGACAGAGCCCGUGAAUCCGGGCGCGCGGAAUUCAGGACCGACGGGCGGGCUCGUCGAUUCGAUAUUUCCGCCGCCGACCNNUUAACGGUGCGGACGUCGCGACCCGUUCGUCGUCGGUCUGGCGNAUCGCGUUUCAAGUUCGUCCGNNNNUAGUCCUCCGUCGGCGGCGAUGGCGCGNNNCUCGGGCGGCGACGCGGACGGUAGCUGCAGUGCGGGUAUUCGACGCGGCCCGACGGACCUUCNNNNNGUUCGUCGGGUGCUCGCGUCGACGCCGGUCAGCGACGAAUCUUCGGGCCUCUUUCCGACCCGUCUUGAAACACGGACCAAGGAGUCUAACGUGCGCGCGAGUCGCGGGGUACUCGGGUCGUUACGCGACCCGUUACUAUACGAAACCCGUCAACGUACGUUGUGCGAAGGCGUAAUGAAAGUGAGGGGCCUCGCGUCACNNNNNNNNCGGGAAGACGGCGUCCGAGUAACGUAUUUCUCGGUCACUCGUAUCCGAGACCGGACGCCCGCAUUCCCGGGGCGUCCCGCUCGUCCGUCGACGGUGCGGAUGCGCGUCGGCCGCCGACGAACUGGGGCGCACCCAUAGCGUGCACGUUGGUACCCGAAAGAUGGUGAACUAUGCCCGGCCAGGAUGAAGUCAGGGGAAACCCUGAUGGAGGUCCGCAGCGAUUCUGACGUGCAAAUCGAUCGUCUGAGCUGGGUAUAGGGGCGAAAGACUAAUCGAACCAUCUA